rnacentral:lncRNA from 1 species
GUUUUCAAGUUUCGACUUAGCGGGCUAAUUCUCUCUCCUUUUUUCUGAGUUUUUUUGUGUGGAACAAAUCAUGUGACAUUUGUUUAUUUGGUUUGAAAGGAUUUGUGACUAUCUCACUUUUUUUUGUUGGCGAGGGACAACCAUUGGAUAUGUGAUUUCAACCUCUUGUGAGGGAAAUAAUGUGGUUGUCCUUUAGACAAGACACAC